rnacentral:lncRNA from 1 species
UCCAUAUGGAUGGUCCUACUUCGGUUAAUUACGGAUGGUCCUACUUCCAUAUGGAUAGUCCUACUUCGGUUAAUUACGGAUGGUCCUACGGAUAAAUCCUCCGGACUCCGGAUAAGAAUCCUGCGGACUCCGGACCCUGGACCUUUCUUUGGCCCUGCGGACUCCGGACGUAGGACAGGUGACGGGGAAUCGGAGGAUCAAUGAAAUUUGAGAGAGUCAUGAUCCCAAAGGUUGCAAAGAUGCGGUUUCUGACUCAGAUGGACCCCGUAGAUAGGAGCAAAGAAUAUUGCUCAAGAAUUCCGCUAAAGUUUCAGCUAAGAGGAGCAAAGAAUAUUGCGGGAACCGGUCCGUCCGGAGGACUCAAGGAUUCCGCUAAAGUUUAGGGAAGCAAAAGAGUCAUGAUCCUUAUAAAGCAGUUUCAGCUAAAUAGUGAGGAGCAAAGAAUAUUGCGGGAACCGAAGGCGCAAAGAAUAUUGCCCAUAUUGCCUUUCGUCUGAUUCCAAAGAAAAGCUGUUAAAUAGCCGCUUUUAAAGUCUUAUUCCAAUAAUAUCCGCGGUUCAAUUCCCACUCCUAAAAUCAAAGCUCCAGAUGAGUCUUAAAUAAGGCCUUUCUUUCCUUAUUCCCUUAAAAGGCCCACUCCACGGUCCUUCCCUCUUUCAUCCUAGGUGCUUAGCAGUUCUACCCCGGUCCAAGAAUGAAAAAAAGAAUCCCAAUUAAUCAGAUCAAUUCUCUGCCCUUUUUAUUUAAAGAGUAUUCCAAAUCUGAUUAUCUCCGCUUUCUUCUUCUAGGGUUCAGAGUAAUCUUUCUAUCUUGAAUAGGAAUCUGUCCCAGUUUCUCCACAUAAAUAGGAAGCCUCAUCCCUUGAUUCCAUCAUCAUCAGUCAAGGUCACACCACCCCCUAGCCCUGAAAUCGGAACAUCACUGAAGAAGUCUGAAUAUAUGCUUUCCUUGAAAAGGGAAAAGAGGAAUGAUAAGGAUCAUAAAGAGAAAUUCUAGUGGGAUAUGGAUCGAUCACGAAAAGCAUUAGUAUCGGCCGAGGUUUCUUGCCCUCCUUCUUCCUCGGAUCUUCGAUCCCUAGCUUGUGGAAGGAGACCGCGUAGUGGGCCCUUGAUCGGUAAGCUAAGUCAUGAGCUAUUCAUUCCAAGGCAAAUCCUUCUCUUUUCACUGCUUUAGAAAUUUUCUUCUUUCAUGAUUCCACCUUUUCGGAUUCAAGUAUAAAAGGUCGGACCCAGUUGAAGCAUUAUGCAAGAGCUUUUUUAAGAGGAUGGCGGAAAGGUAAGAGACUGAGUCAGAGUAAUCUCUUUCGUAUUAUUUUUGAAUAAGACUAAUCCGUCUCGACUGGAUAAGAAGGUAUUAAUAGGCUAAGCCUAAGCCCAGGACGAAUACGACCUAUGAGGAUAGAGGAUGAAGAAGGAGAAGAAAGGGGCGAAGAACUGGGGCCGGAACAAAGGUCUCGGGGGAAGACUGAGUUUCUACAGUUGCUGCGAUAGGACUCAGUCCAAAUAACUAAAAGCAAUAAGGGGAGGAGGUCAGAUCGGGGGCCUAUCCUCCUCUAUAGGGGUCCCAUGUCAAUCAAUCGUCCGCGGAUCUAUUCUGCUAUAAAUCGCCAUCUCACACCGAUUCUCUUUGCCUCGCCCCCAUCCCAUGCCGGCUCUGACUUCGACUUUGAGUAUGAUGGUGGAAAGAUCUUCCCGAUCCAACCAUAUCUAUAAAAGGUCCGGUCCUCAAAGAGAACUCUAACUGUAAAAAGAUCAUCAGUCCCUAGAUUUCUUGACUGAAUGCGAGGCCGCCGUUGAAGAAGAAGAAGUUGGAAUUUCCCGCUCCGUGGGUACGCAUGAAAAAUUUCCGAUCUUUCCAUUGAUUAGUUGAGAUGUAGUCAGACCGUUUACGCCCAGAAGAGGAAGGGAUCUCAGUAAUUUCCUUAAUAAGAUCAAGAGGAGUCCGGAAUAGGGAAUCGAGAGUAAGUCAACGAGGAAGAAGAAGUGGGACAAGAAUCGGGCUAGGCCCAGGAGAACUCCACCAGGAAGAGAUAAAGGUAGUCAAGGUCAGAAGAAAGGGAGGCCAUGGGUCAUGAGUUCGAUCGAUUCAAGGCUUCAAACUUGAUUUGCUAUAUCGAAGUCAAUUACGAGGUUUUAUCGGCAUACCGAAAAAGAAAAGAGGGUUGGACGACCGAGUCGAGUGGGAGAGUUGUCCCACGGAGCGGUGAGGAAGCCGAGACCUAAUUUCAGACUAAAUAGGAAAAUCUCCUACGGAGCCGUCCUCCGGACUAUGAAACCUAUUAGCUGGAGGACGAGGUUAGAACCUGAAAAGAGGAUGCGAUAGCGGUCGGAACAAAGAAAGUAGGCGAAUGAUCAGUUUAGGAUCGGCCGAGUAUCGAGAUAGGGAGCUCAUGAAAAGAAAUACGAAGCUGGCUGGGAAGUUAGCCUAUUUUUUUCUUUCGGCAGACAGGUACCUGAAAACUCUCUCUUUCAUCAGUCACUUCGGAAUAAAGGAUCUCCGCGAAGGACGGAACUCAUCCUCGUAGCAAACUCGCGAGAGGAGAAAGGAAAGACCGUCUGGGAUCAGAUAGGAUCGACAGAAUUGGAUCGAAGGCUUACCCGAAAAGGAAUGAGAAAUCGGAAGAUCAAUCGGCAUCGGAAUGAGACCAUCCAUAGCUAGGGAGUCAGCAGCGAGAAAGAAAGAGUGAUCGUACAAAAGGUAAGGAAUCCAUCCUCGUGGAAGGAGUCCGCCGCCCACAAGGAAGCUCGAACUAAGGGCUAGGUCCUUUUCUCAUACGAGGAUCAAUGGUCAAGACCAGGGUAGACCCUUUCUCAUUUACCGCGUAGUCGGCUUUCAGACUCAGCACUCUUUUCCUGGUCCGGCGACGAAGGUCUUCCAGCCCGCUACGUGGGGAAUUGAGAUUUGACCCAGCCGUAGGCCCAGAUCAAUCAAGGCAUAAUAAGCUCGACCCAUGUCUGAAAAAAGGUAAAAAGGCUUUUCUACGGAUUCCUUCUUCCCCGACUCAUAUUUGCAACCGACUUAGCUUAGUCUGAAGAUAGAACUGCACUUGUGAGAAUACCACCUGCUUAUCCCGGACCCGCUAGUUCAACUGCCGUAAGCCGAUCUCAUGAAAUGCCCUACCACAGGAAGGCUUGAGGCCUCGUACCUAUCCGCAUCUCCCUCGGCCAUACUCUUAAGAGAAUGAAGCAGACUCCACUACAGGCCUUGAAGCCGGGCCUCCUUCACAGGGGUUUUAUCUCAUAUCUUUUGAUUCAGGCAGGUGAGAUCUUUUCCCUCAUAGUAGCCCACCACCUGGUCAGUAGCUGUGUGCCUUUGGCGACUAAAAGGAAGUUUGAGUGGAAUAUAUAGGUCGGGAGGGUCCGAAGUCCUUAUCAAGCUUAACCUGUCCUUCGUUCAAUGAACAUCCAUAAAGAAAUUGGGAUUCAAGUCUCACACACCUUGAAGUAAAUUCUAACUGAUCCGCUGAAAAGAGAAGGUAAAAGAUCCCACUUUCUAGGUCAAUAUUCUUUGAACCUCGCAUCCUUCUUCAAUUAAGGCCUGAGUUAUCAUCCUCGGCGAAUGGCUGGCCUAUUUCUCUUUAUCCUUGUAAUAAAUCACCUUCUCUUGAUACCCUUUUUUUCUCGUAGAAAGAAUUUCCGAUUUCAGAAGAAGUCGAGCCACUUCUGCAACUUUAGAUACAUCGACUUCCGGCGGGAACAUCGACUGAUGACUUAGAAAGAGAGACCUCUGACCCUGCACCAGCACCUACUUCUAAUCCUGAAUGAAUGAGGAGGAUCCUUACGGACCUUCUUUUUCAUCCGGAAGAGAGGCCUCCUCCCUUCGUCUUUGUCCCACUACGCGGUCUAGAGCAUAGGAAGAAGGAGAGCUACUUCAGAAAGCGCUUACCGAUCUUCUCCGGUCAUCUGAAAGCGAGGGUCAAUGAAAUAUGAGUCCGUGGGGUAGAGAAAUUUUCAUGGAUUCCAUUAUAAGGAAAGAGAUCAUCUUCAUCUACUUCAUCUUUCAUUAUCUUUUCUUUCAUUCAAAAUGAAAAGGACGGAAAAAACGGGGACUGACUCUGAUUCUGGAUGAAAGAGGAGGAACCCCACCAAUCCCCAAAAAGUGGAAGAAAUCCGAGACGGACCGGCUCGAUCUUGCCCGAGGCCUUAUCAGCUUUCUGAUAGAGUGGAUAGGAUAUGGAGUUAUCUUCUUAAUAGGGAAUGAAUAGUAAUGUCCACUUGGAAUCAGACUACUGAACUUCCACAGCAAGGACGGAUUCUUCUGGGACUGACUCCCCAGGAGAGCUUCUAACCGAUUCCCGACCUAACCUGAUUAAGAAGGACCUAUUAAUGGAAAGAAGGACCUGGAAUCAAGGACUUCUUCACGGAAUACCUCAAUCCUGUCUACUACCCCACUACGCGGUAAAUCAGUCGACUCAGUAGUCAGUGACCUACAAGAUCCAGUCAACUCAUCAAAUUUCAUUGAUCCUUCGCAUAUUGAAUUGCGCCGGAGGACUGUGAAAAGUCAAGAAAAGAAAAAAGAAAAGAAUAAUUAACUCAUUAACGAUAAUGAAAGAAGCUCAAAACAAAAUUCAUCUGCUAGAUUUCAGAUUAAUCUGCGGAGGGAAAUCAAUGAUUUUGCUAGGUUUUGCCCAUAGGGAAGUAGCAAGAAAUCAUGAAAAAUCAGUCAAUAAAGUACUUUUAUCGUAGAAUAUCAAUAUGAGAAAAAGUCACAUUUAGAAGCAAAAAAGCCGGGAAAUUGCAAUUCAUUCAUUGUCCUAGGACAGUCAAUUCACAUUUCUCAGUUCUAGUUUGAGUUUAUGGUCCGGAGAAAGAGAGGUCUAUUCUGCUCAAUAUUCUUUGACCCUCCAGGUUAUGAAAGAAUAAUGAUUCUUGAAUUCGAGUGAAUGAGCCCUCCCCCACGGUGCGGUGCAAAGAAUAUUGCGAAGACCGCUCCGAAGGAGUCUUAUGAAACCUGGACCCUUCUUUCCAUAUGGAUAGUCCUACGGAUAAAUCCUCCGGACUAUCCAUUAGAACUUUGCGCCUUGCGCUCCUUUCUUCUUUUCCGCAAUAUUCUUUCCUCCUCAAAUUGAGCCUCCGGACGACUGAAAGGUGCGAAGGAUCAAUGCGGAAUAUUGCGGGUUUGCGUGAGAGGGGCGAAGAGACUCGACCGUAGGGAGAGGGUCAAAGAAUAUUGAGAAUUCUUUGCUCCUUAACAGGAGCGCAACGAGGAAAUCCAUAUUAACCUAAAGGAUCAGGACUCGCCUAUUUAAGCCGGAGGCGCAAAGAAUAUUGCGAAAAGCAAAGACGCGCUACUCUUAGCUUGAUUUUUCUUGCUGCAUUAUUAUAUGAGCCAAAAGUGAAAAAUGACUAUUGGAUUUCUACUGAAUAAAGAGAAAGCCUAGACUGAUCGAUGUUGCCCACGGAGCGGUGAAAAGAAUAUUUCAUGUUCAGAUUGGCUUUUCGGUUUGGAAGCUCGGCUCACCUUUGGGUUACUUAUAGGUUGCCCGAAGCGACUUCUUGCCUAGGAAGGGAACUAGGAAGCCGACUAGCGGCUUACCUUCGCGACGCGGACUUCUAGCUUACGCAGAGCUCACAUCUGGACCUUUGUUUUUGGAAGAGGGGAAUGAGAUUCCCUUUCCCCCGAAUCCCCUAUCCCUAUUAAUAAGGAGUUCCUUCGGAACCACUAAGGCUUUCCCCCCUUCCCCUCGGGGGAGAGUUAGGGCCUAAGGCUUAAAGAAGGCCGACGGAUGGUAGGUCCUACGGACAACUAUCUGGAAAGAAGCCGGACAGCGCAAGCAGCAGGGAUUCAGGAAAGGGGAACCGGACAGGAAAGAGGAGGGAAGGGGUUACCCGUACCGACUGGAAGGAAGCCGGACAGCGCAAGCAGCAGGUUUGACGGCCGGACAGGAAAGAGGGAUUACGGCCGGACAGGAAGCAGGAAGAGGAAGAAAGAGGAAGACGUUGGUUCGGACAGGCAGGCAGGAGGAGGUCUUUGGCGCAUUGGCUUGGUAGGAAGGAAAGCGCGCACCUACGCUCCCUUCAAGGAGCUGAGCCAUAUACCACAUCCUGAAAACCCGGAAGCCGGUAGCUGCUACCGACAACUAGGGAGAGAGGGAGCAGAAAGGUUAGCUCUUAGGUUCCUUUUUCCCUUUCUGUACUCCCCCUCUUAUCCGCGUCAUGAGGUUGAGGUAUACUUCCUCAGCUCCUCUACGGGAGCUUCGGUCUUGCUAGGAGUCAGCCGAGUUUCGGCUUUUGCCUUCGCUUUCUUUCUAGAUUGCGAUCUUGUUCUAUAACCAUUAGGAACCAUAACCCCCACGGAGCGGUGGCUUCUUCGCAAAUUCUUUGCACCUAGCUUCGAUCAUUCUUUGCCCCCGUAGUUAGGCGAUCAGUUCGGUUAAUUACGGAAAGUCCUCCUUCGGUUAAUUACGGAUAGUCCGGAGGAUAAAUGGACGUAGGACCGGUCUUAAUACUCCUAACUACGGGCUCAUUAACUCGAAUUCAAGAAGAAUUAUGAAUCUGCUAGAUUUCAGAUUAAUCUGCUAGAUUUCAGAUUAAUCUGCUAGAUUUCAGACUAGUCCUUCGCGGAGGGAAAUACAAGAAAAUGCUAGGUUUUGGGCCUAUAAAGUAGCAAGAAAUCAUGAAAAAUCCGUCAUUUUUCGACAAUUUUCGUUAAAUAGAAAUCUUUGAUUUACUAUGAAAAAGAAGCAAAAAAGCCGGGAAAACGCAAUGAAAGAAUCAAGCCUAGGACAGGUAAAAGAAAUUCAAUUGAUCACUUAUGGUUUCUGGUCCGGAUACUGACAGGUCUAUUCUUGAUUCCGCUCCUGAAUAUGGAUAGUCCUACUUCCUUCCAUAUGGAUGGUCCUACUUCGGUUAAUUACGGAUGGUCCUACGGAUAAAUCCUCCGGACUACUUCCCUCCAUAUGGAUGGUCCUACGGAUAAAUCCUCCGGACGUAGGAUAAAUCCUGCGGACUCCGGACCCUGGACCUUUCUUUGAUGGUCCGGAGGACGGAGGAUCAAUGAAAUUUGAGAGUUGCUGACUUACUUCUUCGAUCAUUCUUUGCCCCUCACACUUGACGCAAUAUUCUUUGCGCCUGACUUACCUCUUCUUUCCGGACUUACCUGUACCUGUACUGUAGGGCUUCGCCCCCUUUUUCUUCCUGUACUUCCUUAUGCUUCUUUUGAGUUCUUUGCCCCUUCAAAGAAAGGUCCAGGUGACUAUCCGCAUUAACCUAGCUUUCUUUCUUUGCGCCUGCUUCUUCUUCUUCGCCUUCAUACUUUUGCUUUUGGGAUACUUCCUCAGCUCCUCUGGAGCUUCCAAACCGAAAAGCGCAGAGCUUUUGCCUUUGGACUAGAUAGCUCGAAGUUACUAGAACCAUUUUCGGAGGAGACACUUCUGGGAUUUCCGCAUGAGAGCACGACCCUUAUAAGAAAGAGGGAGAUUAUGAAGAAAAGAAGCGGAUAAGCGGAUCAGCCGAUCUUGCAGUUUUUACCGCGUAGUGGGUUACGGAGAAAGUAGUUCAAUACAGGAGGCGCAAAGAAUAUUGCUCGAAAGAAAGGAUAAAGUUUCAGGCUGUCCGCUCCUCGCAAAUUCUUUGCGCCUCGCAUAUUGAAUUGCGCCUUCUAUAUAUUCUUUGCACCGCUCCGUGGGUCCUAUCCAUAUUAACCCGCGCCUUCUAGUGGAUAAAAAUGGACCAAGAAUAUCCCUGUCUUAUGGAACCUCUCCUUCUACACCUCACUCUUUCCUAUCUCCUUCCCAGUCGCUUCGCUUUGAGCAUAUAUUAGUUCUUUGUUCCCAUCCUUAAGAUGAACACUGACUGAAUGAAUAAAAGAGAAAUGAAAAGGAGAAAAGAAUAUUGAAAAGGAGUUUGAAACUUGAAAGCAAAGCAAAGGCUCAAAGAGGACAAGACUCAAAAGUCUGCAAUAAGAAGCCGGAGGCAUAGUAAUCUUUGGAAUACUCUUUGUCAUCAUAAAAUCAAAACCUUCGUCUGCAAUAAGAAGCCUACGCCAGAAGACUCUGUAGUCAGAUAAUCAGCCAUUCAGACUUUUCUAUCUCGUUCGUAAACUGAUUAAUUUCACGACUCAUAUUACAUUGAUCCUCUCCUCUAAGUCGAGCCUCGUAGAUUGCACUCCUUAUCAGUCGCUUCUCAAUGAAUUCAGCCUAUCUUUCUCUCUUUAAUUCAUGCGCUUCGCUUCCUCCUGAUGUGACUCAUACAAAAGAGAGUCUUUUCUGACUAUCUUACUGAAAAGUCAAGGAUUUCUCCUUAAGUUAGGCUAUUUGCCUUACUCAAGAGAUCUCUCUCAUUCGCAUACCGAUCAAGAAAAGCUACUUUCUCAACCGCGUAGUGGGCUGCAACUUCAACUUCCUAACCCGCCCCGAACCCUAGCUUCUGAGUUCAGUUACACGUGCCUCCGACUCUCACUCUUCCCUGGGCCAUUCCAAUAGCUGCUCAUUCUCAUUCAUUCUCAAUUCCGAUUGCUUGUUUCGAUCCGGCUUGUGCGGUUUGGCCUUCUAAAACCUUCUGCCAGGACUUUGACAAGAGCAAGAAAUUACCCACGUGCGGUCCCCACUCCAUAACAUUUUGUCUUAGCAAUGGAUGGCACUGCUAGAUUGAAGAACCGAAUUGCGCUCUGAUUGAUCUCAAAAUAGAGGUUGAUCAAGCCCACAUCACGAGAUUGCUCUCAUGACACGCCAGCCUCAAGUUGAACCUGGAAAGGGUAGAGGAUCCCCAGGACUAGCCUCAAGGUGCGAACCAUUAUCUCUUGAGUAAGGCCUCGUUUGUGGCUUUAAACGAGUCCCAAUUUCUUACGAUAAAAGACUCUUAAACGAUUAAGGAAGAAGACGAUAAAGGAGCCUUCAAACCCCUUGAAGUAGGAUCACAGAUCGGGUAAGGGAAGGGUAAGAGGUGAAAAGAAUAUUGAAGCUCGACCCCUUCUUUAAAAUAGAUCUUGCUUUAGGCCUGGUUUCAGCAAGUUUGCUUCAUGUCAAAUCUCUCUCCUUUGGCUAAGAAUAAGUUGCUUGGGCUAAGUAAACCUUGCUUGGGCUUUAUAAUAGACUGAUUCAAUCAAGGAAGGGAUGGGAUCGUAGGUUAGAAGCCGCUCUUUAAAUAGGGGAAGGGGCUCAGUUGCAAUGAUGAUAGGCUUUCUUUUUAGUAGGGUCGGACGAAAGGGAACUGAAAUAAGUACUAUUUAAAGAAGCAGCUUGACCCAUAGGGUUAGGAAUGGAACUGCUUUCCAGAGUGAACGCGGUAGAAUCAUUCUCUCUUUCUUAGGGGAACUCUUAGAAAGUAUGAUACGUUGAGGUGGGUGCUCAGUCAUAUCUCUCAAAAUAGGGAUAGGAAGAAGAAAGGGAUAGGAAUAAGUACUCUAAGGGAACAUCCCUAGUUUACUCAGUUCCCGAAGUGGGCUAGCCUCAAGCUAGAACUAAGAAGCAAGGGUGAGCAUCGAGGAUUAGUCAGUCACUUCAAGCGAGACAGAAGGAAGAGGCGUAGGAGGAGUUUCAGACUGUAAGGCUAAAUGUGGGGCGCAGUUAAGGUUAAGGAGGCGCAAAGAAUAUUGCUCAAAUCCUUCGGAGUUUCAUUACGUUUCGGUUCAUCUUUCUUUCCAUUUCAUUCCUUCUUUCAAGCUUGCUUUCUCACUGCUUUUGGUUUACAUCAGAGAUAUUCAUCUUCAGUUUGGUAAGUUGGAAAAGAAUUUCUCACGCAAUAUGCUUUGCUUUGAGCAAUAUUCUUUG